rnacentral:rRNA from 1 species
GACGAACGCUGGCGGCGUGCUUAACACAUGCAAGUCGAGCGGUAAGGCCCUUUCGGGGGUACGACGAGCGGCGAACGGGUGAGUAACACGUGGGUGACCUGCCCUCAGCUCUGGGAUAAGCCUGGGAAACCGGGUCUAAUACUGGAUAUGACUCCAUGACGCAUGUUGGUGGGGUGGAAAGCCUUGUGCGGCUGAGGAUGGGCCCGCGGCCUAUCAGCUUGUUGGGUGGGGUGAGGCCUACCAAGGCGACGACGGGUAGCCGGCCUGAGAGGGCGACCGGCCACACUGGGACUGAGACACGGCCCAGACUCCUACGGGAGGCAGCAGUGGGGAAUCUUGCGCAAUGGGCGAAAGCCUGACGCAGCGACGCCGCGUGAGGGA